AAGAGUUUGAUCAUGGCUCAGAUUGAACGCUGGCGGCAGGCCUAACACAUGCAAGUCGAACGGUAACAGAAAGCAGCUUGCUGCUUUGCUGACGAGUGGCGGACGGGUGAGUAAUGUCUGGGAAACUGCCCGAUGGAGGGGGAUAACUACUGGAAACGGUAGCUAAUACCGCAUAACGUCGCAAGACCAAAGAGGGGGACCUUCGGGCCUCUUGCCAUCGGAUGUGCCCAGAUGGGAUUAGCUAGUAGGUGGGGUAAAGGCUCACCUAGGCGACGAUCCCUAGCUGGUCUGAGAGGAUGACCAGCCACACUGGAACUGAGACACGGUCCAGACUCCUACGGGAGGCAGCAGUGGGGAAUAUUGCACAAUGGGCGCAAGCCUGAUGCAGCCAUGCCGCGUGUAUGAAGAAGGCCUUCGGGUUGUAAAGUACUUU
rnacentral:rRNA from 1 species